rnacentral:tRNA from 1 species
CCUCAGUUAGCUUAUUCAAAGCCUUAACCUCUUAAUUUAAAAGAAAGUAGUUAAACCCUACUACUGAGGA